rnacentral:rRNA from 1 species
ACGCACGCUGGCGGCGUGCCUAAUACAUGCCAGUAGAACGCACAGUUUAUACCGUAGCUUGCUACACCAUAGACUGUGAGUUGCGAACGGGUGAGUAACGCGUAGGUAACCUGCCUGGUAGCGGGGGAUAACUAUUGGAAACGAUAGCUAAUACCGCAUAAUAUUGAUUAUUGCAUGAUAAUUAAUUGAAAGGUGCAAUUGCACCACUACCAGAUGGACCUGCGUUGUAUUAGCUAGUAGGUGAGGUAACGGCUCACCUAGGCGACGAUACAUAGCCGACCUGAGAGGGUGAUCGGCCACACUGGGACUGAGACACGGCCCAGACUCCUACGGGAGGCAGCAGUAGGGAAUCUUCGGCAAUGGACGAAAGUCUGACCGAGCAACGCCGCGUGAGUGAAGAAGGUUUUCGGAUCGUAAAGCUCUGUUGUAAGAGAAGAACGGGUGUGAGAGUGGAAAGUUCACACUGUGACGGUAGCUGACCAGAAAGGGACGGCUAACUACGUG